rnacentral:rRNA from 1 species
UGGGGAAUCUUGCGCAAUGGGCGAAAGCCUGACGCAGCCAUGCCGCGUGAGUGAUGAAGGCCUUAGGGUUGUAAAACUCUUUCACCGGGGACGAUAAUGACGGUACCCGGAGAAGAAGCCCCGGCUAACUUCGUGCCAGCAGCCGCGGUAAUACGAAGGGGGCUAGCGUUGCUCGGAAUUACUGGGCGUAAAGGGCGCGUAGGCGGAUCAGCAAGUUGGGGGUGAAAGCCCGGGGCUCAACCUCGGAAUUGCCUUCAAAACUGCUGAUCUAGAGUACGGGAGAGGUGUGUGGAACUCCGAGUGUAGAGGUGAAAUUCGUAGAUAUUCGGAAGAACACCAGUGGCGAAGGCGACACACUGGCCCGUUACUGACGCUGAGGCGCGAAAGCGUGGGGAGCAAACAGGAUUAGAUACCCUGGUAGUCCACGCUGUAAACGAUGAUUGCUAGUUGUCGGCAGGAUUGCCCUGUCGGUGACGCCAGCUAACGCAUUAAGCAAUCCGCCU